UACGUAGGGGGCUAGCGUUGUCCGGAAUCAUUGGGCGUAAAGAGCGUGUAGGCGGCCCGGUAAGUCCGCUGUGAAAGUCGGGGGCUCAACCCUCGGAUGCCGGUGGAUACUGUCGGGCUCGAGUACGGAAGAGGCGAGUGGAAUUCCUGGUGUAGCGGUGAAAUGCGCAGAUAUCAGGAGGAACACCCGUGGCUAAGGCGGCUCUCUAGUACGGUACUGACGCUGAGACGCGAAAGCGUGGGGAGCGAACAGG
rnacentral:rRNA from 1 species